GAUGAACGCUGGCGGCGUGCCUAAUACAUGCAAGUCGAGCGAACAGACGAGGAGCUUGCUCCUCUGACGUUAGCGGCGGACGGGUGAGUAACACGUGGAUAACCUACCUAUAAGACUGGGAUAACUUCGGGAAACCGGAGCUAAUACCGGAUAAUAUAUUGAACCGCAUGGUUCAAUAGUGAAAGACGGUUUUGCUGUCACUUAUAGAUGGAUCCGCGCCGCAUUAGCUAGUUGGUAAGGUAACGGCUUACCAAGGCAACGAUGCGUAGCCGACCUGAGAGGGUGAUCGGCCACGCUGGAACUGAGACACGGUCCAGAUUCCUACGGGAGGCAGCAGUAGGGAAUCUUCCGCAAUGGGCGAAAGCUUGACGGAGCAACGCCGCGUGAGUGAUGAAGGUCUUCGGAUCGUAAAACUCUGUUAUUAGGGAAGAACAAAUGUGUAAGUAACUAUGCACGUCUUGACGGUACCUAAUCAGAAAGCCACGGCUAACUACGUG
rnacentral:rRNA from 1 species